UACACGCUGUGACUAGCAUAUCAAUAAGCGGAGGAAAAGAAACUAACAAGGAUUCCCUUAGUAACGGCGAGUGAAGCGGGAAGAGCUCAAAUUUGAAAUCUUCAAGGUUUUACCUUGACGAAUUGUAGUUUAAAGAAGUGUUUUCUGUUGAAGUUUUGGUAAAAGUUCUUUGGAAUAGGACAUCAUAGAGGGUGAGGAUCCCGUAUUUGACCAUUAUUUUCAGCUGUGUGAUACACUUUCAAAGAGUCGGAUUGUUUGGGAAUGCAGUCCAAAAUGGGUGGUAAAUUUCAUCUAAAGCUAAAUAUUGGCGAGAGACCGAUAGCGAACAAGUACCGUGAGGGAAAGAUGAAAAGAACUUUGAAAAGAGAGUUAAAUAGUACGUGAAAUUGUCAAAAGGGAAGCGUUUAACACCAGUGUUGUUUUCUGAAAAUCAACCUCUGUUAGCUUUAUGCAUGUUUGUUUAGACCUAAUCAGCUAUCUUGCAUGUUCUAUUGUUUGCAGUGGUGCACUUUUCAGUUUACAGGUCAACAUCAGUUUUUUUUACCAUAAAAAAGUUAAAGAAAGGUAGCUCAUGGCUCCGGUCGUGAGUGUUAUAGUCUUUUUCCUAUGCGGUAGGAGAGACUGAGGUCUGCAGUGUAGGCUAUUUGGCUAGAUACUCAGGUGCUAUGUGAUACCAUUUCAUAAACAACUUGUUGAUUAUGUUUUGUCUAUUGCAUACUCGCUUGUACUAUCAUACCUACGCUUAGGAUGUUGACGCAUGAGAUAUACGC
rnacentral:rRNA from 1 species